rnacentral:rRNA from 1 species
GAUGAACGCUGGCGGCGUGCCUAAUACAUGCAAGUCGAGCGAAUGGAUUAAGAGCUUGCUCUUAUGAGGUUAGCGGCGGACGGGUGAGUAACACAUGGGUAACCUGCCCAUAAGACUGGGAUAACUCCGGGAAACCGGGGCUAAUACCGGAUAACAUUUUGAACCGCAUGGUUCGAAAUUGAAAGGCGGCUUCGGCUGUCACUUAUGGAUGGACCCGCGUCGCAUUAGCUAGUUGGUGAGGUAACGGCUCACCAAGGCAACGAUGCGUAGCCGACCUGAGAGGGUGAUCGGCCACACUGGGACUGAGACACGGCCCAGAGUCCGACGGGAGGCAGCAGUAGGGAAUCUUCCGCAAUGGACGAAAGUCUGACGGAGCAACGCCGCGUGAGUGAUGAAGGCUUUCGGGUCGUAAAACUCUGUUGUUAGGGAAGAACAAGUGCUAGUUGAAUAAGCUGGCACCUUGACGGUACCUAACCAGAAAGCCACGGCUAACUACGUGCCAGCAGCCGCCGUAA